rnacentral:lncRNA from 1 species
UCUCUCUCUCUCUCUGUGUGUGUGUGUGUGUGUGUGUGUGUGUGUGUACAUACACAUGCAUACUAUUAGAGUAUACCUUCAGAACUGAUUUUAGCCUUAUUGACAUCAACUCCAUGGGCUUAUUAGAACUCAGAGUUGUUAUAUAGGAUUUUUUUUGUGUGUGUACUGUAGUUCAAGAGAGCAGUUAAGUUUGCCUGUCAGCUGGGUGCCAUUGGUGUUACAGGGCUCAAAGUGUCAGUCUCUGGGAACCAAGAAAGUAGAGCAUAAGUCAAGGAAAGUGGUCUAAGUAAACUAUUCAUUUUGCUAAAGGUCCUCUGCCACAAAGCCCUGAGCAGUCUUCAGGCCCCAUGUCCCCACACAUACUGAGAUAAAUCCACCCUGACAGGCCAGACUAUUAGAGCAAUGGAAAGCCUAUUACAUCAUGCUGUGUCAAUGAUCCAAGGAUUAUAGAUGGCCAUGAAAGGAAGGCAGAAUCCAGGGGGACUUGAAGCUAUCAUCUGUCACCUCCAGCAAAGCUGCUGCUUCCUAGUGGGAGCUCAGGGGCUCUUUUUAGUAGAGGCCAUCAAACCAGGGUCAGACCACCCUCAGGGUCUACAGCAUCCUGGGAAGCCUGUCUCAGACGGAUGAGAAAUCAGGCUUUGCUGUCUGCUGUGAUACUAGGGGUGUUUAAGGCACUUCCAUAUACUGAUUGAUUGUUUUACCUGACUCACAAGGAAGUACUGAGUCUGCCUGGUGCUGGGUGCUAGGUGAAUGAUAUGAUUACUGCCACCUGACACAUACACAGGCUGGAACUAAAUAAGGUUUCACCUCCCAGCUUCCAGUAACUCCACAGUCAGAGCAAGACUGCCUCCUGUUUACAUUAAGUUCUGGGAUAUCUGAAAGCUCCCCACUAAGGGAAGGCAGUGGCUGUGAUUUCAUUAAUUUCAGUCUCGUAGGAUUAAGAAGAAAAAUGUCUGUAAAAGACAGUGGCAGAAAAAACAGUUCUACCCAGGCUCAAACUGUAUUAUCUGAAAUACGUGGAUCUCAGUUUAGUAAGCAAUCCAAACUCUGUGUGCUUUAGUGCCUCCCAGAGCAUAGAACUGUGUGGUUUAAUGGAAAGACUUCAGCAUCUAUUAAUACUUCCUAAUGCUGGACUAGGCAGGGAAAUAGUACCACCAUGAUGCCCACCCCUCCCCCAGAUAGACUCUUCCCUGGACUUCUGGUUCUAGAUCUCUUAGCUGACCUUACUCUGCUAACUUCUCCAGAACCCUCAUGUAAGAUUAUGGUUCAGUCUCUUUGUGAUUUGGCCUCCCAGUCAUUAGUGGUCAUUACAGUUGCUCUCAAUCCCUUGCCAGCUUCCUGUUCCUAAUGGGCAUUUUACCAAACCAAGGUACUUCUCCAAGGUCAAGAGAUCUAAGUAUCAUUAAAUAUUAGAAAGCCUGGAUCCCUGGGUCCGCAAAUUCAAACAGAGGUGAGACCAUUUCCGUGUCUAACACAGUGUCCCACAGGUUUGACAGGAAGCAUUUUUUUUCAGUGACUAAUAAUAUCCAGUACCUUCACUCUGGCAUUGAGCAUGCAAAUUUAAAGAAAGUGAUGUUUUGCAGAAGGCCACACAGCUGGUCUGUAGCAGCUCCUAACCUCAGACUGUAUGAUACUAUGACACUUGAAGCCUUGUCCUGGGAUGGAUCGGGUACCAGAACCUUCCCAGGAUCCUGGAGGAGUCUCACUGUGACCCAUGUCCAGAGAACUCUACCUUUUCUUACUUUACAAGUGAGGAAUAAGACCCCUGGUCAAUCAGCAACUCACCCCAGGUCACAGAGCCAAACAGGUGACAAAGGUGUGGCUCUAAGUUUGACUUGUUUCCCCUCUCUUUCCUAACAGCCACACUAUGAGAUGAGACAGGGGCUUUGAUCAUCAGGCUCAUCAGAAGAAAGGUAGGGAUCACUCAAGGGGCACAGGCCAGAUGAGCAUGUGAAUGCAAUCUGUUAGGACAGGAUAGUACUGACAUACUUUGUGCCCAAUUGUACCACUGAAAUGGUAGUGUUUGGAUAGAAGCAACCUCUUUAAUCAUGGUACCUCCUCUGGGGAUAAAUGGAGGUCUUAAGACUACCACUGUGCUCACAGAAAGAAAGCAAAGAAACCAACAGCGGCCCACACAUUAAAAAUCGAAGGAGCCUCCUUGUUCAGGGGUCAUUGUUAAAAAAAUCCCAAAAAAGUUUGCCAGAAUUAUAGACUUUCCACAAAUAUUCAUUGAGCUACAGUCAGUCUAUUUUAAGACAGUUCUCCCACUGCUUCCAGAAGAUUGAAAGGCGGUCGGAAGCAUGAAUCAUAGACCUCUGGCUUGCGAUCCAGAGAGGAGCUACUGGAAGUUUGUAAUUCAAUUUCAGCCUGAAAUGAAGCUUAAUAAUACAUGGAGCAGUCUCGUUUUCCUCUUAUUAAAGUGAAGGAUAUGACUUCAGGGAGAAAUUAGCUAAUUGAAUAGGAAUAUUUCAGAUAGAGGAAAAAUAAAGGAUGCAGAUUGCCCUUGGAGGGUG